GUGAGUGUUGUGGAAGAAAACGUUUGGGAUAAGAGUACUGGGUCAGUAAGCUGGGUCAAAUUUCUGAGCUGUGCAGUGGAGCUGGGGAGACAUGCUCAGGUGGGAUUUCCUGAGGCAUGAAGAUGGACUUUAAAUAACAGCCAUGUGAUGGGCAAGAUCUUAUCUUGGGUUAGAGCUACCUGGCAACUGUGAAGUGGUGAUCUGCCCAGAAUCAGGAAUGCUUACCCACUGGAGGCAUUUCAGCCCUACAAAAAAAAAAAAAAGAAAAUAAAAGAAAAGAGCAGAUCAGGAGUAUUCAUCAUCUUUUUGAAGCAGAAUCACUGCAUUUGUGUGCAUGGUAGAUUCUUUGUGUCUCUUGAUAUUUUUACUGACCCUUCUCAUCUUGAUUUCAUACUUUCUUUUUCUUUUUAAAAUGUAUCUAGGUUUUGUUUUCUUGUUUAUCUUUGUGUGUACAAGUUGGUGUAUUGUGCAUAUGAGGAGAUUUGAACACACAAGACAAUUUAAUCAUUUGGAUCAAAGUGACCACAUGCCAACUGGCCUUGUACACUGGCCAAUUGCAUUCACUAAGGUAGAUGUAAUCAACAAAAGUGUCGCAACCCUUAAUUAUAUGUGCUCUAUCACCAAGUGGAAAACAGCAAGGUCCUCUCUUCAAAGCAAAAGGAGUAUUAGUGAGCAAAAAUGAUCAAAGAACUCCUAGAGCUGUACAGCAGGACAUGCCAAGGAGAAGAGUAAGAGCUGGGUCAGAUCUCUAAGUAUAAUGAGAUACAUGUUUUCUCUUGGGAUUUUCAAUGAUGAUCCCUCUUACUGAGAUAGCCCCUUAGGAAAGACCUUUUUCUACAAAGGUUCAUGCUGAUACUGAAUAAAUUCAAGCUCAAAUUUGACUUGAAAUAGUAGAUGAACUAGGAAGAACACUGAGAAUUUAGUUUAGUGUGUCAGUCCUUAAUUAACAGUCAUUUAUACAGAAUGCAAGAGUUUGGAUUGGGCUAGAGAUAGAGCAAGUUUUAUUCUGUAAGUUGGCAAUUAAAAAAAUCACUAGAUACUCAGAAAAGUCAAGUUACAGUCCCUCCUCAAGUGCAACAAUGCAAAGGGUUAAGAGAACUGUCACACUGGAGAAAUCUUGUUGAUCCUCAAGCUUUUUAUUUUUUUAUUUUUUUCCAAAGAAAAUAAAUUUACA
ensembl:lncRNA